GACGAACCGUGCGAACGUUGUUCGGAAUCACUGGGCUUAAAGGGCGCGUAGGCGGGCAGGCAAGUCAGGGGUGAAAGCCCACGGCUCAACCGUGGAAGCGCCUUUGAUACUGCCGGCCUCGAGGGAGGUAGGGGCGUGCGGAACUUCCGGUGGAGCGGUGAAAUGCGUAGAUAUCGGAAGGAACACCGGUGGCGAAAGCGGCGCGCUGGACCUCUUCUGACGCUGAGGCGCGAAAGCCAGGGGAGCAAACGGG
rnacentral:rRNA from 1 species